GUCCUGGGAGCAUUUCUUGGUUUAUUGCUGCUAGGCUAAGUCGGCGGGCGUUGGUGUCAGCAUUUCUUGUUGGAACCGUGGGUUCAGUUUUUACUACAUCAAGUGUCGAGGCACUGGUGGACGGGCACAGCAAAGCUUGGGUCCUGUUACCUUUAGCCACUUGGAGCUAAGCCGGUGCGAGUGGCGACAGCAGCAGCGGUGCGUGUUUUAGUUCAUUUAGUGUGCAAUAAGGAUUCUGGAUCUGUAGCAGAGGAACAGUCAAGCCGAGUGUCAGAUUACUUGUAUGGUGAGCAGAUAUUGACAUUAAAAUAAAUAAAACCACCGACAGUUUGUUCCACAGGAAUGUCACAGAAGAAAGUACCAGUGGUUUCUGAAAGCACUGCAACUGAAAGCUGUACUGUUGGCCUAUCCAGUUCUGGCACAGCAGAAUCAAGGAAGAGGGCCGAAGUUCCACGAAGAGCAGCAGUGCUGUACAGAAUGGGUUUGCUACAGGAAAAAGAAACUGAACCGCCAUUGAAGUUAAAAAUGGAUAUGAGAGAGGACAUGGAAGACCAGGAGGGAAGAGUUAUCAGCUUUUAUAAGGUCCCUAAAGUAGACUGAGCCAGACCACUCUACUGCAAACUGAAAGGUAAAUUGAGCUUUUAGAUGAUUUGUUCUUAAAUGACCUUACUUUGAAACUAUAUGAUCUGCUUGUGUAAAAUAUUAUUGACAACUUGUCUUUUGAGCUAUUUACUCUUAUAUAUAAAGGUGAUUUAGCCACUGGAGAGGGUGUUAAACACCAUUUCUUCAGCAUUGUAAUACACAAGUUGCAAAGGGGAUUCAUCACAGAUUUUGGUUGUUCAAAAAGUGUUCUUAUAAAAGAGGUGAACUUUUCUGUGCAAUAACCUGCAUGAAUAAAGGAGAAACAUGUACCAUAUGUUUGCCAUUCUUCCUGCAGGACAUGGAACCAGCAUUGUGCUUUUUGAGGGCCAAGUUAAUCACCUAGUCCCAUGCAUCUCUCAAGUUCUUGUGUGGAGUGAUUUGUUCUUAAUAGCAGGGAGGAUGAUUGGCCACUCCUUUCUCCAUGGUGGCCAACUGCUUGCUGGUCUGAGCCCAGCAAUUAUCCAUGUACUAUUAGGUGGUUCCCUGCAGACAGCAGCCAUCCUGCUUGAAGAUGUGGUAGACAUUGACAUACGGGAGACAUUACAGCUUGUAGGUUUGGAGUGUAGUGGGAUGUGCAUAUGCCAUUUCAGCUACUCAAGUUAAACGUUUCAUGUUUAUGCAUAAAGUUAUAUACAGGCAACGAGGAGUUAGAUGAUGCGAAGAAAGAUAAAGAGCUAAAUGACGACAAGAGGGGAGCUGUUAAUCAACAGGCAUUAUCUUGGGACCUUCCCGUACUGACAGCAACAAACCGUACCUGGCUCUUGCACAGUUUACUUCAGCAUGCUAUGCUCACUCGAACCUCACAAGUAAAGCAGCUCAGGCAGGGACUGAAGGCGUCAAUGAUAUGGCCACUGUUCAGGCCAGGCCAGAACACUCAACAGCUGAAUGCAAUGCUCAGGUUUACCAUUCCAUAUCCACAUCUCUUAACCUUUAUACACUUAAUCAAUCCAUUAAUGGUACUGUAUAAUCUAUUACAUUUAUGUAGUUCUAGACAACAUCACCAAGCAAGGAAGAAAUGGAUAACGAUGAUGGCUUCCCAGUCGCUGUCAAAUACAGAAUUGCUGGCUACCCAUGGCAGUUUGUGGAGACUGUAACCCAAGACAAAUUGAAGCAGUUGGUAAAAUUGUGGGUGGGCUGGGAGCUGCCCAUGAAAGACAUACAAGUGGAAGUGAUGCAGGCAGCCCAUCCAUAAUCGUCCACCUGCUUUCAUAUCCUGCGCUUACCUGAUCACCACACAAGCUAAGGUCUCUAAUCAUUUGGAAGGUUGUAUUGCUUGUAAUGACAGUGGGUUUGGACUGAUAUAAUUAUGUAGGAGAAGAAGCAUCAUGUGGUAAGGGGUUUUUGCAGUUAUUAAUUGCAGUUAUGAAAUACACUCAUAUGUUUAAAUAUGCAACUUUUUAUUUUACUUACAAAGACCUUUUUGUUAUGUCAAUUCAUGUUAAACAUAUUGUUGGUUCACUUGUAAUCAUUUCAUUGUCCAGGUUAUAAUACUUUAGAUGUUUUAAGCCUUUUAGAUGUUUUAGGAAAACUAUUCAGCCAUUUAAUAGCUCUUUAGACAAGUUGAGGUAAAAAAAAAAACUAAAUGUACCCAAUGUUUUGUAUGUACUGCAGUGCCGCUAAAUAAAUAUCAGCACCAAAA